GUAGGUGAACCUGCGGAAGGAUCAUUACAUACAGUAGUUUUCUACUGGCAGGGUGCGAGAAAGACUAGACUAUAGGUCUCAGUCGGAAGUAUCCUCCCUGUUUACACCCUUGUCUAUUGCGCACUCAUGUUUCCUCGGUAGGCUUGCCUGCCGAUUGGACAAUACAAAACCUUUUUAAUUUUCAAUCAGCGUCUGAAUAAUUAUAAUAAUUACAACUUUCAACAACGGAUCUCUUGGUACUG
rnacentral:misc_RNA from 1 species